AUGCAUGAAACUGAUUAAUUUCUGUGUUUGAUCUGAAAUCCGAAACUGCCUAAAUUGUUUGCUGAUAUUACGGAAUGAUUGUUGCUAAGAAUUAUGGAAACUGUUACACGCAUGGUUGCGACCCAGGUUGCGAGUCGGGAAACCACAGUCUCGACUCGAGACCAUAACAGCAUUAGUCGAAACCGAGGUUGCGAGUCCCGUUGCGACUCGUAACCAGAUCAUGACAAGCCGAGACCGAGGUUGCGAGUCCCGUUGCGACUCGUAACCAGACCUUGUCAAGCCGAAACCUCCUGUUACGACUCGUAAACCACAGUUGCGACUCGAAACCCCUCGUUGCGACUCGAGAUCGCUGGUUGCGACUCGAGAUCGCUGGUUACGACUCGAGACCUUGUACACGUGCACGCAAUUGGGUUAUUGGGCUAGUAUUGUUGUUGGGCCGGGUUAUGUUUGGGCCGGACACUUGGAUUUGUUUACUUGUUGGUUAUUGGGUUGCUGAUACGUGUACGUGUAUUGCCAUGAUCAUACUUGAUACAAUACGUGUAGAACAUACGUGCUAUAUACGAACCUAACUUGUAUAAAAACCGUGAUAGGACGUGGUUGACCUUUUUACUUGCUACCUGUACUCUCUGUGUAUCAUACCGAGCAACCCCAGGUGAGUUCAUUGCAUUUUCUCAAGCAUGCGUCCCGGUGGUUUGGGACAACUGGUAAACAUUGGACGGGAAACAUUGGGUAAACAACUUAAUCGGUUUUGGUUAUUGCCUGGAGGGCAAUGGGGGUAAUUAGUUGAUAGCGCUAUUAGGUGGGAAACCUCACACCGGGCCGUAAGGACGGGGGUGAACUAAUUAUCUGGGUUUCACUAUGGUUGUUCAGAGGCACACUCCUCGGUUACGUAAGGGCGGUUCCCCUAGGGUAACUAACCGGACAACAUAGUGGGUUGCUAAGAGGCACACUCCUCGGUUACGUAAGGGCGUAGUCCCUAGGGUAAUCUAACUUGAGCAACAUCGUAACAUAUCAUUGAAUCGCAUUAACACAUAUCUGGUAACUCAGCGCGUAACAAACCUUGAACUCACCAGCGUAGUCUGACACACUUGUUGCAUGCUUGUAGGUCGUUAACUUUGGAGCGUGGACUUGCUGUCUGGAAGUGCUGGAGUUGUCAUGGAUCGAAGCUAAUGGAUUACUUGUAUCGACACAUUGGUUUUGAGUUAUUAUGAAACGAUUACUAAACAAAUUAUUAUAUGCUUCCGCUACUCAACAUUAUUGAAUUGGUAACAUGUU
rnacentral:lncRNA from 1 species